AUUAUGACUCGCGAGUCGAACGUUCGACUCAAGUCGAACGAUUUGGCGAAUUGCCUAAGUCGUGGUAUUAUGAAAGGCGAACUUCGACGUUCGCUUUUGAAAACAAUAUUACCAACUUUAAGAAGUGAAAUAUGUAACGUCAUGACUCGGUGAAACGUCAAAGACUGAAAAUUAUUGUUGAUGAUAUAUUGUUUACAAUUUGGAAAAAAGUAGAAUAAAUAAAACAAAAUAUGAUAAGCAGUGUUGAUAUAUUUUUUGAAGAUGAAGAUGAAAACGAAAGAGCGGAGAAAGUAUUGGUGUGUAGAUUACGAAGAAGUUUAAGGGACAACUCCAACCCAUUUCAACUUCCAGAUAAUUUGUUUGUGUCAUAUUUUCCCGUUAAUAAGCAUGCAUUUGGUUAUAUUUUAAACAUCAUUACACCAGGAUUUAAAACUACUCAAAGUUCUGCAAUUCCACCAUAUAUAAAACUUGCAUGUGCGUUUCGUUUUCUCGGCAGUGGAAGCUACCAAAAUGGUGUGGGAAGUGACUUUGAGCUGGGUCUCGCGCAUUCACAGUUUCAGUAGUUCUAAGUGAAGUGCUUGAUUUACUUGAAGUGAAAAUUUGUCCUGUGUGGAUAAAGGCAGACAUGUCUACCUCUGAAAAACAAGAAGCAAGAAAUUACUUUUUUGAAAGGGCCAGAUUACCCGGAAUAGUGGGCUGUGUAGAUGGGACUCACAUUGGAAUAAUCGCUCCUGUUCAGCUACAACAUCAAUUUUUAAACAGAAAAGGAUUUUAUAGUUUGAAUGUUAGUGGUGGCCUGUGACAAUAAUGGUAUUAUAAGAUUUAUUGAUUCCAGAUAUCCAGGUUCAACACAUGACUCUUUUGUGUGGAAUCAUUGUGAAUUAAAGGAUCUUUUGGAAAGCUGGUGGUUGAAUGGAGAGCGGUCAAGAUAUCUAGGUGUGAAUAUAUAUUCCAUUCGUAGGUAAAGAAGUAAAUGGGCUAUUUUUAAGAACAAUUUUUUUUUUCAAAAAUACUAGGCUUUGUUUUUUUUCGAAGAUCCGAAAGAUCCUAUACCUUUCGCAUUUUCGGGGUUUGUCUCCAUAAUUUCAACGAGCUUUGAAAAUUGGUUGGAGUUGGUUCUUUUUAUGCUAGGUAUACAAAUAAAAUUCUAUAUUAUUUUUGCAAUUGUUAAGCAUUCAUUAAUUUUAAGCAUUCAUUACCUUUUUCUAUUUCCAGUGCAACUCAUUUUGCUUUAUUUUCCAAAAUUAUUCUCAAAACAAAAUAAAACAAACAAACAACCACCGAUUUCAAAUUUAACAGUAAAUUUCUUCAAGUCACGAAGAAUUACAGUUCGACCGAUUCUGACAGAUAAAAGCGAACGUUCGCUAGUGGUAAUAGAGCGAGAUUUCAAUUCGCUAUUUUUUUGACAUUUUAGGCGAAUGUCAACUAGGCGAUUCGCAAACGGUAAUACCAAAUAGUCACAUUUAUUAAAUUUUUCUUGCGACUCGCAAGUCAUAAU